UGAGUGGUCGGAGAGGUAUGAGGCGUUUAGUGUUUAGUGAGGAUUAUCUAGCCCCCAAUGCUCUGCACUCACAUCGUUCGACUCCGGAAAAUUGUUCCCAGACGAUGCAGAAUGUCACCUGAGAGGCAAAGUGAGGUGGAUCCUGUUCAAUGACAAAGACAGCAGAUGAGCCUAGUUCACCUGUUCCUCUUGGACGGCCACUGGGAUGGAUGCUGUGAGGAACCUGGCUCUUGGGUUCCACCUUGAUAUGAUUCUCUAAGGGAGAAUAUGACUGCAGCAGCACUUCACUCAGUGCUCUGACAAGGACCUAAGUGUAGAAGCUAUGGCCUGCACCAACCUCACUCCUGCAGCAAAUGGUGCAUCCUCUGAUCCCCUAUAGUAAACAGUGCUUCAGCGUUGGGAAACAAGAGGAGCAAACAAGGCUGAACUCUGGAGCUUAAGGGGGGACCGUUGUUGGAUCAGCAGUGAUUACGAAUUAAGUGAUGUUGUCCGUAAGCACAUUAGGUUAUGAUUAGUGAGGGCCGUUGAGAGCAGAGUGCUACACCUCUGAGGACUGUUGUCGACCGGCAUGCUAGUGAACUCUCCAGCUCCACGGAUCCUUACCCGUUCCAGUCGGGUUAAUAUGAUAUGUGAUGUUAUAGUUGGGACAUUGAUAGAAGCUUCUCACUUUGACAAGCAAGUACCUCUGAUAAGAUUGUUUUAAGGACACACACACACAAAAUAUUUAGCUAUUUUGCAAACUACCAAUAUCCAGAGGCACAUUGUGAUUCCUCAAGUGAGUUGUUUUCUCAUUGCUAAAGUAGAUGAAUGCAUUAAUUGUAUUUUGCUACAGUGUAUAAAGAUAUUCAUAUUGAAUACUGAAACAAUUUAUAUGUUAAACAUAUGUAUAUGUGUUUUAUACACCUGUGAUAAUGACAAACCACCAAAUAUUAUGGAAGCCAUUAAACUAUGGAAAAAACAGAUUGAAAUUAAAUUUGUUGUACAGAUUGUGAAAUUGUUUAUUAAAUGCUUUAAUAUGA